AUGCACGCUGGCGGCGUGCCUAAUACAUGCAAGUCGAGCGAACGGACGAGAAGCUUGCUUCUCUGAUGUUAGCGGCGGACGGGUGAGUAACACGUGGAUAACCUACCUAUAAGACUGGGAUAACUUCGGGAAACCGGAGCUAAUACCGGAUAAUAUUUUGAACCGCAUGGUUCAAAAGUGAAAGACGGUCUUGCUGUCACUUAUAGAUGGAUCCGCGCUGCAUUAGCUAGUUGGUAAGGUAACGGCUUACCAAGGCAACGAUGCAUAGCCGACCUGAGAGGGUGAUCGGCCACACUGGAACUGAGACACGGUCCAGACCCCUACGGGAGGCAGCAGUAGGGAAUCUUCCGCAAUGGGCGAAAGCCUGACGGAGCAACGCCGCGUGAGUGAUGAAGGUCUUCGGAUCGUAAAACUCUGUUAUUAGGGAAGAACAUAUGUGUAAGUAACUGUGCACAUCUUGACGGUACCUAAUCAGAAAGCCACGGCUAACUACGUG
rnacentral:rRNA from 1 species